GGAUGCGAUCAUACCAGCACUAAAGCACCGGAUCCCAUUAGAACUCUGAAGUUAAGCGUGUUUGGACGAGAGUAGUACUAGGAUGGGUGACCUCGUGGAAAGUUCUCGUGUUGCAUUCC
rfam:Sorghum bicolor cultivar BTx623 chromosome 9, whole genome shotgun sequence.